UACAGAGGUCUCAAGCGUUGUUCGGAUUCAUUGGGCGUAAAGGGUGCGUAGGCGGCGCGGUAAGUCGGGUGUGAAAUCUCGGGGCUUAACUCCGAAACUGCAUUCGAUACUGCCGUGCUUGAGGACUGGAGAGGAGAGUGGAAUUUACGGUGUAGCGGUGAAAUGCGUAGAUAUCGUAAGGAAGACCAGUGGCGAAGGCGGGUCUCUGGACAGUUACUGACGCUGAGGCACGAAGGCCAGGGGAGCAAACGGG
rnacentral:rRNA from 1 species